CCCUUAAUCAUUUCAAUUUUUUAUUAAAGGACGGAACUCAGAAGGCACAUUUCAAAUGUCAAUAUUUCAUCAACUUUACAUAAAAAGUUUGAAAAUUAGAUUUAAACCCUUCGACUGUUAGACAGUUGACAGUAUAAAUCUGAAUCGACAACAAAAUUACCAUUGUAAAUAAAUAAAAAAGUUUGUUUAACCUUACAUAGUUACAACUUUAGAAAAUUAAUAUGGGAGAAUUUUAUCUGUAAUAAAAAACAAAAAUUAAAUAACUAAAAUAAUGUCUUUACUUGAUUAACAGCAACAGCUUAAAAGGAAACCUACUAAUUUCCUUGGUGUGACUCUUCACAUGUGCGAAGGAUGGGUGGAAGAGGGGCAAUUAUAUCCAUCAUCUGUAGAUGAAAAAUAAAAUAAGCAUUACAUGUUAAUAACUAUGUUAUAAAGUAUAAACUAUUCAUUACUUCAAAUACCAUUAGGAUGAAGAAUCAUAUCUUAUGUAUGAUUGUUUUAAGUUUUAACCAAACAAAA
rnacentral:lncRNA from 1 species